rnacentral:misc_RNA from 1 species
GAAAUGCGAUAAGUAGUGUGAAUUGCAGAAUUCAGUGAAUCAUCGAAUCUUUGAACGCACAUUGCGCCCUUUGGUAUUCCUUAGGGCAUGCCUGUUCGAGCGUCAUCUAAACCUUCAAGCCCUGCUUGGUGUUGGGUGCCUGUCCCGCCUCCGCGCGCGGACUCACCUCAAAUCCAUUGGCGGCCCCCGCGUCGGCCACGAGCGCAGCAGAAACGCGAACUCGUGAGCCCGUCCGGGCGGCUCCCAGAAGCUACACCCACCCAGUUUGACCUCGGAUCAGGUAGGCAUACCCGCUGAACUUAAGC